AAAGUACUCCCUCCGUCCCAAAAUUCUUGUCCUAGAUUUGUCUAGAUACGGAUGUAUCAAGUCACAUUUUAGUAUUAGAUACAUCUGUAUCUAGACAAAUCCAAGACAAGAA
rnacentral:pre_miRNA from 1 species